rnacentral:lncRNA from 1 species
UAUCCGGAGAUGACUCGGCCCUCUGGAGACGACUCGUUCUCAGGAUUCCAGAGAUCUUUCUUUCAGGUUUACUCCCUCGAGUCGACUCGGAUUCUCUUGGAGUCGACUCGGUUCUCAGAGACCGAAAAACUGAUCUUCUGUCUUUGGAGUUGAACUGCCUCGGAGUCGACUCGGAUCGUCUUGGAGUCGACUCGGCUCUCA